CCGGGGAUCCAGAAGGAGACCGAGGAACUAAUCACAGCGUACGGUGGGUUCACCUCGAACGUGCAUAUCUGAUUCACCGACACAUGUGUUCAAUACUUUCUCCUUGGAACGAUCGAGGAGAAUGUAUUAUUUUGUGAUGCUCGUCCGUGGCGUACCACCCCAUGAAAAUGGGAAUGAAACUGAUGAAAGCUGGCAGCAGCCACGCACUGGCCAGCAUACAGGUGACAGUGAGCCUCUUCAUGAUCGCGGGGUACUCCAACGGCCUGACAAUGGCGUAAUACCUGUCCACGCUGAUGCAGCAGAGAUGCAGGAUCGAGGCUGUGGAGAAAUACACGUCCAACGAGCACCACACGUCGCACAUGAUCCUGCCGAACAUCCAUCGACCGCUCAGCUCGACGGACGCGUUGAAAGACAUGGCGCAAACCGCGACGAGGAAAUCGGCAGCCGCCAGACUGACCACGUAACGAUUGGUCGGCACGCGCAGCUUCCGGUGCCUUCUCACGCUCGCGAUCACCAAAGCGUUGCCUACGAGCGCGGUCACGAUGAUACCGAUGAUCACCACGCCCUUGAUACCCGUCCAAACGACGUUGAUCGGUUGAUAAAUGUCCCCAGAAACGGAUAACGCGUCGUGGACGCUCGAGUUGAGCGAGAGGCGCUCGAGGCCGGAAGUCGUGGUGAGCCUGCCUAUCGAUCGGUCCACGUCCUCGUCCGAUGGCUCACUGACUUCCAUUCCAACACGAACCGCCUGUGACCAUGUUACACACGCCGGGAAAUCGUUCAGGGUGAAGUCUGUCCGAGGCAGUCGGACGCGAGCACGGUGUUGGAAUUCUUGGGGAUGGAAGACUGGCGUCGAGAAAGAGAUCGAUUCACUCGCGUAUCGACGUGCAUUGUGAAAAUGCAAAGUUCCGCAGGAUUUGGCCCGGGCUUAUGGAGAUUUCGUGUCCCGUGAUCGGCAAAUUUCCGAGGUAUUCGAUGGAUUCGUUAUCUGGAUAUAUACGGUGGAUUAAAAUUGUUAAAAAGAUUCUGGCGUGAUAAAAUUGAGCGAUGAUACGUGUAAAAUGAUAAAUGCAUACGAGAAUGGAGCGUGUCUAGAUGGAAUUAAUAAAUGGAUGUUAUCGGGUUUCGUAAUACGUUUCAUAAGUUUUUCCUCGUCGUUUCUCGAACGAGUAAUUGUACGACAAAUUGUUCGGAUUGGUCGUCGAAUCGAAAAUGGAUCGAUUCGUUCGAAAAUCGUGCAAAACGUUAUCAAAAUGUCAUUUGUAUUAUUUAAAAAAGAAAAAUCUUCGAAUCUUCUUCGACCUGGAAUUUCUACGCUUUGCUCUGUACGAACGUUCGUCAAUUUUUUCUUCCCAAGGGAAUUGCACGCAAGAAAAAGGAAGAAAAGAAAUGACUGGAGGCUGUACAAUGGACGAAUGCGCGUGAGUAAACUUGCCUCGUAAACGUUCCUCCUGUUCCUGAGCGACGGGAUAUACUUUAACGUUAAAACAAACAGCUGGAGCACCGGGUGAGACAAGUUGUGUGCAUAUUUAGCUUGCUCGAAAAACGUCUUGCUUUCAGGUAUUCCAAGUAAAGUGCAAACAGCCAAUGACCCGAUCUCGUUGGAUGUUACGUUUCGAGAACUAGAAUUAUCCUGCAGACAGAGAAUUCGUUUCUUUUCCGUAUGCAUAUUUCACGUAUCGUGUUUAAUCUUUGCGAGGAAUCGACGCGAUAAUGCUUAAUUAAUUCGCUUUUUCGAAAUUUAGAAAACUUCUGAUACGACGAGUAUCGUAUUUUUACAACGUUGACUUUUCAAUUUUCGCCAAGAACAAUGUAAAUUUCUCACAAUUAGAACUUUAGAUUCUAUAUACUGUAAAAAUUAUUACCAAAGAUACAUCGAUACAUUGUUCACGUUUGCAUUGGUUGGUAAAUAGUUUUCAUUUACUAAAUAACAAGAAUUUUCAAACAGUUUUUCUCGAUUCUUUAUUUACGUGUCGUGUAGAUAAUAAAAUAAAAUUAUGGAUAAUAUUCGCCGAAAUAUAGAUUAAACGAUUAAAUUUCAAUUUUGCUUCGAUGUUCUUUAUCAGAAGCGGAGGAGACGAGUCGUGGACGGACAAUAUAAACCUAACGCAAUAAUUGGAACACAGCGCCACCUGUAGUUGCUCAAUUACAAACCAUACUCCGUUCAAAGUAACUUCUGCUCCUGUCCCAAAUGAAUUCCCUCGAGUUCAGCUUAUCGCUUACCCCGUUUACCGUAAGUCUAACCGCAAAUAUUCUAUCCCCGAACAAUCUAAUUUCUCGUCAUCCGACGUGUCUGGCACAGUUCAUCCGGAACACUGCCACCUCAAACCACCUGCCACGCUAUGGAAAAGACAGUUUUCACCUCGCGAAAUCCUCCACCACUACCUAUAACCAACGACUGUAGCGAAUAACUUGAUAAUCCCAGAUCCCAUCCCAGGUGUCAAACGCAAAAUCGGUCUUAGAACUUGUCACCUGGAAACGAACGAAACCUGUUUAUCGUUACGUAGCGUUAUCUAUAAAGGAGUUAAUUAGUCGAGUCCUCCUAUUUUUACGAUAUGAUAUAUUUGCAGUUUUUUAAUCGAAUAUGAAGAAGAAUUAUUUAAAUAUCUCGAAAAAUUAUGAUAACUAUAUUUCCCAGUUUUUAAAUAAAUAUCAAUUAUAUACGCUAAUCGAGUAUCUAUAACUCGAUUAAUAAUAACGCGAUGAUAUCGAAUCCAGCAAAGAUCCAAGGUCUAGAUCAUGACACCGUACGAGAGAUGCGUGAGAAAUGGACGUUGGAGAUGCGAAGCCUCAAUGGGCGUAAUUAAUGGCACCCGAAAUGCCGUAGUUCCGGCGGAAAUGUGAAUAGGCACAUGGUCGACGUGGAUAUCGGGGACUGGCUCGAUUUCCUGCGUGUGAUGCGUUUGAUAGAAACUUGUCGACAAUGAAGAAUAAUCGGUGUUCUUUUUUUAUCUUUUUCUGAAAAACGUUUACCUUGGAAACUGUGAAAUCGAAUAAAUUAAAAGUGUCGUGAUUCGACGCGUAUACAUGUCGUGUAUAAAAGAGACAUGUUAUUACAUUUGAGGAUAAUAACGGUAUCCCCACCGGUAUUGUUGAAAUAAUAAAUGAUUCUGAUAUCAAUGAAUCGAAGUUAUUUGGAUACGUUGGAAUGUCUUAAUUAUUAUUACGAGGAAUAUUUACUUCGAGCGAUUAAUUGUAAAACGUAUUACAAUAGCGGAAAGGAAAAUACAUAUUCACAGAAA